UGUGAGGUUAAGCGACUAAGCGUACACGGUGGAUGCCCUGGCAGUCAGAGGCGAUGAAGGGCGUGCUAAUCUGCGAUAAGCGCCGGUAAGGUGAUAUGAACCGUUAUAACCGGCGAUACCCGAAUGGGGAAACCCAGUGUGACUCGUCACACUAUCAUUAACUGAAUCCAUAGGUUAAUGAGGCGAACCGGGGGAACUGAAACAUCUAAGUACCCCGAGGAAAAGAAAUCAACCGAGAUUCCCCCAGUAGCGGCGAGCGAACGGGGAGGAGCCCAGAGCCUGAAUCAGCAUGUGUGUUAGUGGAAGCGUCUGGAAAGGCGCGCGAUACAGGGUGACAGCCCCGUACACAAAAGCGCAUGUGCUGUGAGCUCGAUGAGUAGGGCGGGACACGUGGUAUCCUGUCUGAAUAUGGGGGGACCAUCCUCCAAGGCUAAAUACUCCUGACUGACCGAUAGUGAACCAGUACCGUGAGGGAAAGGCGAAAAGAACCCCGGCGAGGGGAGUGAAAAAGAACCUGAAACCGUGUACGUACAAGCAGUGGGAGCCCCACCACCAAAGCAUUUGCUGUACCGCGUUGACGGAGCGAAGCGACGUCAAACCGAUAAAACAGCAGUGUAAAGUGAGCCGCAGGGCGCUUUGCGCGACAGCGCAAAGGCAGGCGGUUUCGCGUAGCGAAAGCGAAUGCUUUGGGGUGGGGUGACUGCGUACCUUUUGUAUAAUGGGUCAGCGACUUAUAUUCUGUAGCAAGGUUAACCGAAUAGGGGAGCCGGAGGGAAACCGAGUCUUAAUUGGGCGUUAAGUUGCAGGGUAUAGACCCGAAACCCGGUGAUCUAGCCAUGGGCAGGUUGAAGGUUGGGUAACACUAACUGGAGGACCGAACCGACUAAUGUUGAAAAAUUAGCGGAUGACCUGUGGCUGGGGGUGAAAGGCCAAUCAAACCGGGAGAUAGCUGGUUCUCCCCGAAAGCUAUUUAGGUAGCGCCUCGUGAAUUCAUCUCCGGGGGUAGAGCACUGUUUCGGCUAGGGGGCCAUCCCGGCUUACCAACCCGAUGCAAACUGCGAAUACCGGAGAAUGUUAUCACGGGAGACACACGGCGGGUGCUAACGUCCGUCGUGAAGAGGGAAACAACCCAGACCGCCAGCUAAGGUCCCAAAGUCAUGGUUAAGUGGGAAACGAUGUGGGAAGGCCCAGACAGCCAGGAUGUUGGCUUAGAAGCAGCCAUCAUUUAAAGAAAGCGUAAUAGCUCACUGGUCGAGUCGGCCUGCGCGGAAGAUGUAACGGGGCUAAACCAUGCACCGAAGCUGCGGCAGCGACACUGUGUGUUGUUGGGUAGGGGAGCGUUCUGUAAGCCUGUGAAGGUGUGUCGUGAGGCAUGCUGGAGGUAUCAGAAGUGCGAAUGCUGACAUAAGUAACGAUAAAGCGGGUGAAAAGCCCGCUCGCCGGAAGACCAAGGGUUCCUGUCCAACGUUAAUCGGGGCAGGGUGAGUCGACCCCUAAGGCGAGGCCGAAAGGCGUAGUCGAUGGGAAACGGGUUAAUAUUCCCGUACUUGGUGUUACUGCGAAGGGGGGACGGAGAAGGCUAUGUUGGCCGGG
rnacentral:rRNA from 1 species